AAACCUAUAGUUUGGUCCCAUGG
rnacentral:siRNA from 1 species